CUUUGAGCCACCUGCACCCAUCCAGAACCGAACUCGACUGGAUCAGGAGUGCCAAAACAGGAGUAAACAACAGUAGAAGACAUUUAUCCUUGGCUUGAUCAACAUUUACACUAGGACUUAUGAUUUAAAAGACAGAAGAAUUUAUUUGAAAAAAUAAGUCAUUUUUUUAUAUUUAAUCCUGGUGAAUUUCUGCCACCACCGUUAAGACUUGCGCUUGGUGCUCCAGGUACCACCCACCACCUCUUGUGCAGGGAUAACAAGCUGAUUUAAUGUAUUACCUAGCCACCACCACUGCACUGUUUUAGUUCUGAUUGACUUAGAUUUUUACGUUCUCUCCGUCAUGUACUCUUUCUCGUCAGACUGGGUUGGUUUUGACCUUUCCUGCCACCUUCCUCCCUUCUCUUGCUCAAAUUGAAUCAGAGUUUGACAGCACCAAGGAGAAGAGAAUGUCUGCCACUUUAUAUUUCUGUACAAUCAGGAACUACCGUGUCCUGCCCCUGUUUGUCCAUUGGGGGGCGGUGUUGCCAUUCUUCAGAGGUUGAACUGUGCCAACAGGGUUGGAGGAUCCCAAAGGCAACAUUUUCGGACUUGGAACUGUGUGCGAUUAAUAAUACUUCAAUGGUUUAUCUAUUUUUCAUUCAAGAUCAACAAAGUCUAUAUUUUUUGGCUUACUAUUGACAAUUUUCAGUUCAGAAAGCUGCUUUUCUGGAGCCUUAAUAUGUUAUUUUCUAGUUAUUGAUGACAUGUCAAAAGAACUGCUCUUUAACUGACAGUGCUGGAGAAAUCAGGGAUAGUGUGAAGUCACAGACUCUGGACAUUUCACAGGAGGAAGUGCAAAGGCCUCUGGGAAGUAAGUAACUGAUGUGUGUCCUCCAGGAUGAUGGAGCUCUCACCAUCUGAAUCCAAAAUUGUACAAUUUUACAUCCCUCAUACCCCUCCACUUUGGUUUGUUUUGAUAAAUGACGGUUUUGUAUGUUUCAUCAUUGGGAGAUUCUGUUAACGUAUUCAAGCCAGUCUGAGAGAAAUGUAGCAUUCACCAUUUUAAAAUGAUUUUUUAAUUAUGUGAUGUAACUGCUACAUAUGAAUGAAUUGUUUGUUUGCUCUUUUUGGGAAAAUCACUUCGGUUUAUUGUCCGUUGGCCAUCAUUUUGUCUUAAUCCUUUGUUUUGUUUGACUUUUUUUGCUUCUGAAAAUGUGGUUUUGCUAUAAAUCCAGGGCUCUAUGCUGACUUCUUAUUUUUAUAUUUUUUACAAGGAUCACGUGUGUGCUUUAGUUGAAAAAUGUAGGAGCACACAAAGAAAUUAUUUAGGAGCACAAUGAAAAUAUUCUUGAAAUAACAAGCCGUUUCUUUGUUGUAAUGGUGCAAGCAUGACGGUCAUGAAUCUGCGCUCAGUGAGUUCUCUUUGGCACCAGGCGCUGCGGUACAGUGAAGUAUCAUUGCAACAGCUAUCAUCUGGGGGACUUUUCUAAGUGCACUGGUGCUCCUAAAUAACAUUUACAGGUCGCUCAGUAAAAUAUUUAAAUAGUUGCACUGUAAAGCCCUGAAAUCUAUAAUUUCCUUUGUAAUGCUAAGCUUUAACUUAGCAGCAUAUAGUGAUGGAGAAAGCCUACAAUGUAUAACCUGAAAAUAAUGUAACUGAUUUUACUAUCAAGAGUAAGAAAAAAAUAAGAACGAAAUAUGGUUUCUGUGUUUUUUGUUGUUGCUGAAAAUGUGUGUGUGCUUUUAGAAUGGAGUCCUUGAUUAAUAUAUGGAAGGAAGUCAUUGGUAUCAGGAGUUAUCUAUCCAUAAUUGAUUGGGUGUUGAACAUUGAAAGUAUCUCUCUAAUUAAUAGCCUACAAUGCGUAAUCAUGCAGGCUGGCAACAGGUUAAAGCUGGAAUCUGCAUUAGGUGAAACAGCGCCGCAUUUGCUAUUGUUUUGUUUAUGAAAGGAGGAGCGAAGCAUCCAGCAGCACCUUGAUAAAAUAUAUAUCACCAUGGACCAGAAGAGUAUGUACUAUCGUGGGUGCAAUGAU
rnacentral:lncRNA from 1 species